GUUGAAUGUGGCUUGAGCCUUGACACUUUUAUUCUGAGGUUCCAGCUAGCCCUAAGCAGGAAUUUCUGAGAUGGAUAUGUCUCAUUGAUCUUGGAUUUGAUCUGCAGCUAUAAGUUACAAAAGAGGGAGGUCUUACUGUGAAAUACAUCAGAAUGCUAAAUAUCUGGAUAUCUUAAAUCUCAGAUGAGCGUCUUAGCCUCUGGAUUACUGCUCAAUGAGGAAAGCUAUGAAAUGCAUGGAUAACUUGCUAAUCAGUAUUUGCCAUAUGUGCUAGCAGCAUCAGCAUCAGUUGGGAGAUUAUGGUGGCCUCCAUGUCAGACCUCCUAAAUCGGAAUAUCAGAGAAGGUGGCCCAGGUUACCAUGCUUCAUCUGCCAAUGCAUUGAAAACUUGGAAUGUAAAUUAAUUCAACCAUUGUGGAAGAUGGUGUAGUGAUUCCUCAAAGACCUAGAAGCAGAAAUAUCAUUUGAUCCAGAAAUCCCAUUACUGUGUAUACACCCAAAGGAAUAUAAACCAUUCUAUUACAAAGAUACAUGCGUGCGUAUGUUCAUUGCAGCAUUAUUCACAAUAGUAAAGACAUAGAGUCAACCCAAAUGCCCAUCAAAGACAAACAAUAUGUGGUACAUAUACACCAUGGAAUACCAUGCACCCAUAAAAAGGAACAAGAUCACAUUUUUUGUAGGGACAUGGAUGGAGCUGGAAGGCAUUGUCCUCAGCAAAAUAACAUAGGAACAGAAAACCAAACACCCCAUGUCCUCACUUAUAAGUGGGAGGUAAACAAUGAGAACACAUGGACACAGGGAGAGGAACAACACACAUUGGGGCCUGUUGGAGGGUGGGGUGGGGGAGAGAGAGCAUUAGGAAAAGUAGCUAACUCAUGCUGGGCUCAAUGCGUAGGUGAUGGGUUGAUAGGUGCAGCAAACCACCAUGGCACAUGGUUACCUAUGUAACAAGCCUGCACAUCCUGCACAUGUACCCCAGAACUUAAAAUAAAAAUAAAAAUUUAAAAAAACUC
rnacentral:lncRNA from 10 species